ensembl:lncRNA
UGUACAUUUUGGCUGUCUGUGGUUUUCCUGUGAACAAGCUCUACAUUUAUUCUACUUCACUAUUGAAACAAACAUGAUGAUAUCCUGCGAAGUCAGACUUACAGUAAGAGUCUCUGGGAAAUGACAUUAUUCAUCCCAGAUAUGGCAGCUGGACAUUUUAUUUUGUUCAUCUUUCUUUUCUAUGCCUUCCAGCCCAUCAAAGCCAAAGACCUUCCUCAGCCCAGUCUGACAGUGAUUCCUACAGUCAUCAGAGAGAGAGGCUCAGUUGAGGUGAUCUGUGCGACUCCUCCACAUCUCUCUGAGGCAAAGUGUUACUUCAAAUUUGAGGGGAGAUUGGAGUUUGCCCUACCAGCAGCCUGUCAGCAGAUACUCAGACUCACAGGAAAUCAUCUGUUACAGUGGACAGGUCAAAGUUCACCUGCUGUGGUCAAAACACAAUGUCAAUACAGUAACACAGGCUUUCAGUUUAGAUCCAUAUUCAGUGAGCCAUCUACAGUCACAAUUCAGGAUCAUCCUCAGCUGACAGUGAUUCCUACAGUCAUCAGAGAGAGAGACUCAGUUCAGCUGAUCUGUGAGACUCCUCCAUCUGUCUAUGUGUCUGACUGUAUCUUCAGUGAAGUGGGGAGAUCUAUUCUGCCAGGCUCAACCUGUAAACAGACGGUCGCAGGAUCUCAGCUGCUCUCUUGGACAGGUCAACCAUUACCAGCUGUGGUCCAGGUCACAUGUCACUACACUGUAGGGAUGUCUCACACAUCUCCUGUCAGUGACCCAGUUUCUGUCACUGUCCAGGGUGAACUACAGAAACCAGAGUCACACUCUGUCUCCCCGCGCAGUGAUGGAUACAAAUUUACAGAUCUGCCGGGAGAUCUCAUGAUCAGUGACCCAACAACUAAACAGACAUCUUCUACAGCAGGUUAUCGAAGGUACAGUCGGACGAUGAACAGGAUAGUAGGGUUGGUAAACAAGCAGGAAUCUGGUACAUGGGAAUACUGGAAUGGAACACAUGGAAUACAGGAGAAAUAAUAACGCGGGAACGACUUGGAAAAAAGCACAAAACAAACUGACAACGGGGACAUGGAAAAGCACAGUGUAUCACAAGGGAUGAUGGGAACAAGGAAGACAUCUGGUGUGGGCGGAGACACAAGGAAGACAGGUUCGACUGUUAGUUCUCAUUUGACCUCCAAAAUAUCUGUGAGGCCAAUUACCAGUUCAACCACUGCUUCUAGCACCCCAGCAACUUCAUCAGGCUGGUCUGUUAGUUCUACUUUGGCAACUGGCAGCCCACAGACUUCAACUGAAAGGAAACUAUUAUGGGUGGCAGCAGUGGGUGUGGCUUCUGGAGUGGGCAUGUUCUUGAUGGGAUUGACAGCUGUCUGUCUCUGCAGGAAGACCAAGAAGAAGUGUUCUCAGAGAUCUCAAGCCCAACAGGAUGAACAUAACCAAGGUCCUGCUGAAGAGAACGGACAAUCAACUGUAAAUAGCAAUUCUGGUACAUACCACAUUUACAGCUCCAUCCGAGACAGACCAGCAACCUCAGCGCAGACAGUUGAGUUGUACAGUCUACUGCAGACGCAAGUCUAACAUAAGUCUUUUAUUCUUUUAUUCACUUUACUUGAAAUUAACACUGACACUUGACUUUUGUUACAUAUCCAUUUUGGUGUGUAACCCAAUAAUAACAAAAAGGAAGAAAAAUCUAAUGUGUGUUCUUGAAUUUGUUUUAAAUAAAUAUAUUGUUUAAUAUACACCCUAGUUCAUUAUAAUAUUUUGCAACAUUAAGAUAUAUAUUUUUUAACAUAAGUGUCAGGAGCAGUAAUACUGGUUGUGAUUGGUGAAUGUG